CGAUUAAUAUAUACACACGUAUUUUCUAUUUUUGGAUAAAAUUGUUAAAAUUAUAUUUUAAUUAAAAUAUUUUAAUUAAAUUAGUGUUAUCUGUUUGACGUGUAAUUCACCUCUUUCAACAACAUCCGUCACUAACCGUCCCUAGAGCAAGUGGCAAAGAAUUUGAUGGUUGAAAUUCAAGAUCCCAAGUUCAAAUCCUAAUCGAUUCACAUUUCCAGCUAAGUUUAUUUCUAAAUGAAAUAAACGAAGCGGAUACCGUACUACCUAUCUCUAAAAAAAAUAAAACAACAUCCCUCGAGUGGAGGAAAUCUAUCUGUAACAAGCAAUUAUAUCUCUCUUCUUAAAAAAAAAUACAAUAAAAAUAUUUUUUUAUUAAUCAUAACGGAACAAGUGAAUUCAAGAAAAAUAAUUUUAUUGAUUAAGAAUACCACGUCAGUAUUAUAACUGAUACAUUCUAUUUUUUUUUUUUU
rnacentral:lncRNA from 1 species